GGAUUACUGCUAUUGGAGUUCGACUAAGCCAUGCGAGUUGAGGGCACUCCGCAAGGAGAGACCCAGCGUAAUGCUCAGUAACACGCGGAUAACCUGCCCUCAGGUGGGGGAUAACCUCGGGAAACUGAGGACAAUACCCCAUAGGUCUGGGAGACUGGAAUGUACUCAGACUCAAAAUUCCGAUGCCUGAGGAUGGGUCUGCGGCUUAUCAGGUUGUAGUUGGGGUAAAGGCCCAACUAGCCAUCGACGAGUAUGGGUUGUGAGAGCAAUAGCCCGGAGAUGGACUCUGAGACACGAGUCCAGGCCCUACGGGGCGCAGCAGGCGCGAAAACUCCGCAAUGCGCGAAAGCGCGACGGGGGAACUCCGAGUGGCAAUGCUUUGCAUUGCCUGUUUUUGAGCCUAAAAAGCUCAAAGAGUAAGGGCUGGGUAAGACGGGUGCCAGCCGCCGCGGUAAUACCCGCAGCCCAAGUGGUAAUCCUUAUUAUUGAGCCUAAAACGUUCGUAGCCGGUUUGUUAAAUACACAGAUAAAUCGAGGAGCUCAACUUCUCGUUUUCCGUGUAGACUGGCAGACUAGGGACCGGGAGAGGCUAGAGAUACUUUGGGGGUAGGGGUGAAAUCCUGUAAUCCUCAAAGGACCAACAGCGGCGAAGGCGUCUGGCUAAAACGAAUCUGACGGUGAGGAACGAAGCCCUGGGGCGCAAACGGGAUUAGAUACCCCGGUAGUCCAGGGUGUAAACGUUGCCCGCUUAGUGUUAGGUAUUCCUUGAGGAUACCUAGUGCUGGAGAGAAGUCGUUAAGCGGGUUGCUUGGGGAGUACGGUCGCAAGGCUGAAACUUAAAGGAAUUGGCGGGGGAGCACCGCAACGGGAGGAGCGUGCGGUUU
rnacentral:rRNA from 1 species